AUCCAGCUGACGAGUCCUAAAUACGACGAAACGCGCGUCCUGGAU
rnacentral:hammerhead_ribozyme from 1 species